rnacentral:rRNA from 1 species
GUCGAGCGGGAACUUCGGUUCUAGCGGCGGACGGGUGAGUACUGCGUAGGAAGCUACCCGAUAGAGGGGGAUACCAGUUGGAAACGACUGUUAAUACCGCAUAAUGUCUACGGACCAAAGUGUGGGACCUUCGGGCCACAUGCUAUCGGAUGCGCCUACGUGGGAUUAGCUAGUUGGUGAGGUAAUGGCUCACCAAGGCGACGAUCCCUAGCUGGUUUGAGAGGACGAUCAGCCACACUGGAACUGAGACACGGUCCAGACUCCUACGGGAGGCAGCAGUGGGGAAUAUUGGACAAUGGGCGCAAGCCUGAUCCAGCCAUGCCGCGUGUGUGAAGAAGGCCUUCGGGUUGUAAAGCACUUUCAGCGAGGAGGAAGGAGUUGUAGUUAAUAGCUGCAACUUUUGACGUUACUCGCAGAAGAAGCACCGGCUAACUCUGUGCCAGCAGCCGCGGUAAUACAGAGGGUGCAAGCGUUAAUCGGAAUUACUGGGCGUAAAGCGCACGCAGGCGGUUGGUUAAGUCAGAUGUGAAAGCCCCGGGCUCAACCUGGGAAUUGCAUUUGAAACUGGCCAACUAGAGUAUGUGAGAGGGGGGUAGAAUUCCAAGUGUAGCGGUGAAAUGCGUAGAGAUUUGGAGGAAUACCAGUGGCGAAGGCGGCCCCCUGGCACAAUACUGACGCUCAGGUGCGAAAGCGUGGGGAGCAAACAGGAUUAGAUACCCUGGUAGUCCACGCCGUAAACGAUGUCUACUAGCUGUUCGUGGUCUUGUACUGUGAGUAGCGCAGCUAACGCACUAAGUAGACCGCCUGGGGAGUACGGUCGCAAGAUUAAAACUCAAAUGAAUUGACGGGGGCCCGCACAAGCGGUGGAGCAUGUGGUUUAAUU